UGGGGGAUAUUGCACAAUGGGGGAAACCCUGAUGCAGCAACGCCGCGUGAAGGAAGAAGGUCUUCGGAUUGUAAACUUCUGUCCUCAGGGAAGAUAAUGACGGUACCUGAGGAGGAAGCUCCGGCUAACUACGUGCCAGCAGCCGCGGUAAUACGUAGGGAGCGAGCGUUGUCCGGAUUUACUGGGUGUAAAGGGUGCGUAGGCGGAUCUGCAAGUCAGUAGUGAAAUCCCAGGGCUUAACCCUGGAACUGCUAUUGAAACUGUGGGUCUUGAGUGAGGUAGAGGCGGCCGGAAUUCCCGGUGUAGCGGUGAAAUGCGUAGAGAUCGGGAGGAACACCAGUGGCGAAGGCGGCCUGCUGGGCCUUAACUGACGCUGAGGCACGAAAGCAUGGGUAGCAAACAGGAUUAGAUACCC
rnacentral:rRNA from 1 species